GCCGGAGUGGCGGAAUAGGUAGACGCAUCGGACUUAAAAUCCGAUGUCCUAAUAGGGCGUGCCGGUUCGAGUCCGGCCUCUGGUACCA
rnacentral:tRNA from 1 species